UACGAAGGGGGCUAGCGUUGCUCGGAAUCACUGGGCGUAAAGCGCACGUAGGCGGCUUUCUAAGUCGGGGGUGAAAUCCUGGAGCUCAACUCCAGAACUGCCUUUGAUACUGGAGAGCUUGAGUCCGGAAGAGGUGAGUGGAACUCCGAGUGUAGAGGUGAAAUUCGUAGAUAUUCGGAAGAACACCAGUGGCGAAGGCGGCUCACUGGUCCGGUACUGACGCUGAGGUGCGAAAGCGUGGGGAGCAAACAGG
rnacentral:rRNA from 1 species